UACGGAGGGUGCGAGCGUUGUCCGGAAUCACUGGGCGUAAAGGGCGCGUAGGCGGCGCGGGGAGUCAACGGUGAAAGCUCGGCGCUCAACGCCGAGUCGGCCGUCGAUACUCCCGUGCUUGAGCACUGUAGAGGCAGGUGGAAUUCCGGGUGUAGCGGUGGAAUGCGUAGAGAUCCGGAAGAACACCGGUGGCGAAGGCGGUGAGCUGGGCAGUUGCUGACACUGAGGCGCGACAGCGUGGGGAGCAAACAGGG
rnacentral:rRNA from 1 species